AUUUGAACUUAAGUCUGAUUGCAUGAUGCAAAGUUGUGUUAAAAUAUGACCCACAAGCCAUUCGUGUGAAAUUUUAGUCUCACUACAUAUUCUAAAUGAGGGAGUUCAGGCACCUUAACACAGUGUUAAGGGCAGUAAAAUUUGAGAUCUAUCAAGCUAAACUCUGUGAGAUCGAGUCUCGGCAAAAGAGAAAGGAGCAGCUGAAGGAAACAGAACAGAGAAAAUAGGAAGGCUUGGGUAUUUUCCAAAGGACUCGGGCAUUGUCUUCCAAGUGAAAAUAGUGAUUGGCAGUUUCAAGGAAGCGGCUGCCGCUCAGGAACACCUCGGUAACGACUGCAUUUUGAAGAAGGGUUAUCUUCAGGCAUCCCCAGUGUGUUUCAUCGCAGCGGGCUGAGAAGGGAGAAGCCGUGCAGGUUUACCGCUGCCCCACAGAGCCGAGUUCGGAGACUGGAGUCAAACUUGCCGGACCUCGGGAAGAUGGAGCUGCCCAGCCUGAAAGGAAGAGGUCCAUCGAUGACAGAUUCUCAGUAGACCCUGGAGACAAACUACCAGAGGGAGGGGAGGGAGGGAGCGGUGGGGAGAGGAGGGUGGUGUGGGCGCACAGAUGCUGCGGUGGGUGGAACCGAGGGCUGCUCACGUGUACUCACAAAAAUACACAGCAAAAGGCAAAGAAAACAAAUAUUUUGAGUGGUUUGACUGUAAUUUGGCUUUGAGUGUAAUAAAUAUUUUCACUUAAAAACAAGGAGGGAGAAGGGGAGUUUAUAGGAUAUUCAAUGACUCGAAAUAAAACUAACCAAACAACAAACAAUACCAUCAAUGUUUAAAGCCCAC
rnacentral:lncRNA from 1 species